rnacentral:rRNA from 1 species
AGCGAACGCUGGCGGCAGGCUUAACACAUGCAAGUCGAACGCCCCGCAAGGGGAGUGGCAGACGGGUGAGUAACACGUGGGAACGUACCCUUUGGUUCGGAAUAACUUGGGGAAACUCAAGCUAAUACCGGAUAAGCCCUUAUGGGGAAAGGUUUACUGCCGAAGGAUCGGCCCGCGUCUGAUUAGCUAGUUGGUGGGGUAAUGGCUCACCAAGGCGACGAUCAGAAGCUGGUCUGAGAGGAUGAUCAGCCACACUGGGACUGAGACACGGCCCAGACUCCUACGGGAGGCAGCAGUGGGGAAUAUUGGACAAUGGGGGCAACCCUGAUCCAGCCAUGCCGCGUGAGUGAUGAAGGCCUUAGGGUUGUAAAGCUCUUUUACCCGGGACGAUAAUGACUGUACCGGGAGAAUAAGCCCCGGCUAACUUCGUGCCAGCAGCCGCGGUAA